CCACCCCCACCCCCAAUUCCCAACUGAUUCUAACAAGCUACAACUCUCCUCUUCAUGUCCAUUUCUCAGUUAUGUAAUAAUACUUGUUCCCUUAUCCAAUCCUUCCUCCAUGCCCAUCACCUUCCCCUCUCUCUCCUCCCCCUUCUUCCACCACCACCACCACUUACCCUCAUCACCCUUUUUCCUUCUCCAUAAACCCCUUUCAUACAGUCCCUUUUCUUUAUCUUCCACUUCACCCCUUCAACUUCUGCACAAGUCCCAAGAAACCCAAGUUGACAAAGACAAAUGGGUAGCUCAAAGUUUCAAUCUUGAUGACACUCUUGAUCCCCAAGUGGACAGCAACAAAUGUGACCCCAUUUCUUCAACUGGGGUUGCUGAAAGUUUGAAUCUUGAUGACUCUUUUGAUUACCAAGAACCCCAAGUUGAUAUCAACAAGUGUGACCCCGUUUGUGGUACUAAGGUAGCUCAAAGUUUCAAUCUUGGUGACUCUCUUGAUUCCAAAGAACCCCAAGUUGAUGUCAAAAAAUGUGACCCCCUCUGUGGUACUAAGGUGGCUGAAAGUUUGAAUCUUGAUGACACUCUUGAUUCCAAAGAAACCCAAGUUGAUAUCAACAAAUGUGACCCCAUUUGUGGUACUAAGGUAGCUCAAAGUUUGAAUCUUGAUGACUCUUUUGAUUCAAAAGAACCCCAAGUUGAUGUCAACAAAUAUGACCCCCUUUGUGGUAAUGGGGUUGCUGAAAAUUUCAAUCCUGAUGACUCUUUUGAUUCCAAAGAAUCCCGAGUUGAUAUCAACAAAUGUGACCCCCUUUCUGCUUCCGGGGUGGCAGAAAGUUUCAAUUUUGAUGACUCUUUUGAUUCUGUGGAGUUGAAGAAGUUUGAAACUCUGGCUGUCGAAGUGAGUGAACUAGAGGACAUUCCUGACCAAUGGCGUAGAGCAAGACUAGCUUGGCUUUGUAAAGAGCUUCCUGCACACAAGACACCUACUAUGGUUAGGAUUCUUAAUGCACAGAGGAAGUGGUUUAGGCAAGAAGAUGGGACUUAUAUUGCUGUUCACUGUAUGCGUAUUCGCGAAAAUGAAGCUGCUUUUAGGGUUUACAAAUGGAUGAUGCAGCAACAUUGGUUUCGGUUUGAUUUCGCUCUAGCUACUAAGCUAGCAGAUUACUUGGGUAAGGAACGAAAGCACUUGAAGUGCCGGGAGAUUUUUGAUGACAUAAUUAAUCAGGGGCGAGUACCUUCUGAAUCUACAUUCCAUAUUCUCAUUAUCGCCUAUCUUAGUUCCCCUGAACCAUCAGUGCUAGAUGAAGCCUGUAGUAUCUACAAUCGCAUGGUGCACCUGGGUGGUUAUAAGCCUCGUCUUAACUUACACAAUUCUCUGUUUAAAGCUCUCUUGGGGAAGACACCGGGCUCUAGUAAACACUUUCUGAAACAGGCUGAAUUUAUAUAUCAGAACUUGACUUCCUCCGGAUUAGAAAUACACAAAGAUAUUUUCGGUGGUCUUCUAUGGCUUCACAGUUAUCAAGAUAUGGUGGAUAUGGAAAGAAUCGCUGCACUAAGAGCAGAGAUGCGGUCAAGAGGAUUUAAAGCGAGCAAAGAGGUACUUGUGUCAGUCUUAAGAGCUUGCUCAAAGGAUGGGAAUGUGGAGGAAGCCGAAAGAACUUGGUCAAAACUACUCUCCAUCGAUGGCGGUCCUCCUUCUCAAGCUUUUGUCUAUCUCAUGGAAGUCUAUGCAAAGGUUGGAGAACCUACAAAAUCUUUGGAGGUAUUUAGGAGGAUGCAGGAACAAUUAGGUUCCACCUCCGUUGCGGCAUACCAUAAAAUAAUAAAGGUGUUGUCUAAAUCUCAAAAACUAGACCUUGCAGAUUCUAUUAUGUCCGAAUUCAUAAACAGUGGUUCCAAACAGCUGAUCCCAUCAUUCAUCGAUUUGAUGGGAAUGUACUCUGUUGCAGGUUUACGUGAGAAACUGGAAUCUACCUUUCUCCGGUACUGUGAAGUCUGCCAUCCGAAUCUGACAGUUUUUAACAUUUAUUUGGAUUCGUUGGUGGAUACUGGCAAUCUGAACCUUGCUGAAGAAAUAUUUAACGAAAUGCGUGGUAAUGUGGCAAUUGGUGUUGAUUCUCGUUCUUGUAACAGUAUUUUGAGAGGUUAUCUGACCUCUGGAGAGUAUGUGAAGGCUGAAAAGAUAUACAAUUGGAUGCGCCAAAAGAAAUAUGACGUUGAGAUUGAAUCUUCGUUGAUGGAAAGGCUUGACUAUGUUCUAAGCUUGCGGGAGAAAGUAGUUGAAGAACCUAUGAGGCUGAAGCUCACACCAGAACAACGAGAGGUUUUGACGGGGUUGCUUCUUGGGGGUUUGCAAAUUAAAUCAGAUGGAAAGAGGAGAUUGCAUGCAAUCCAUUAUGAGUUUAACGAAGAGUCGAGGAUCCAUUCCAUUUUUAAGAGACACAUAUAUGAUGAAUUUCACGAGUGGUUAGGCUCUUAUGAUGUGAUGGUGGAUAGCAGUGGUGAAAUUCCUAGUUCUUUUACUACCAUUUCACAUUCUCAUUUUACUUUCUACGCUGAUCAGUUCUGGUCCAAUGGACGUCCUUGCAUACCAAAAAUUAUACAUAGAUGGUUGUCACCUCGCGUUCUUGCUUAUUGGUAUAUGUACGGUGGUUACCGAACAUCAUCUGGUGAUAUUCUAUUGAGAGUAAAGGGAAGUUCCGAGGGUGUUUUGAGUAUUCUUAAAGCACUGAAAGUCAAAUCAUUAGACUGUCGAGUAAAAAAGAGGGGGAGGGUCUUUUGGAUAGGUUUUCUGGGGGACAAUGCUACAUUAUUCUGGAAGGUGGUAGAGCCCUUUAUUCUUGAUGAAUUAAAGGAACUCCUAAAAGCAGGUGGCAACUCAGAUGGAUCCAUAGGAACCCAAUGUAUCAAUUUUGACGGUGGGUCGGAAUCUGACGAGAAGAAUUCAGGUUAUAGUGAUGCUGACAUGUCGUAGAGCCUUGUCUUAUUGAAACAUUGGUCUCUAUGCCUUCUAUUGCAAGAUCAAAAAAAAAAAAAAUCGCUGCUGCAAAAGUUUGCGGCUGAUGAGGUGCUUGAGUGCCUUCUUCUCAUAGAUAUGAGUGUCUGGGUGGAGAAUUGAUGAAGUCGGUCAAAUGGCUGCGAAAUUGUCGCUGUGCAAGAAGGAUAAGCAAUCAAAUAGCAAGACGGUACGUACCUGCCUCCUAUGUUGCUCCGACUCUUCAAAAAUGUCAUGGGGUGUGUCAGAUCCUUCAAAAUCAGUGCAUUUUUUGGAGGAUACGACACGGGUGCGGCAACUUAGUCUGCCUGCAUAUGGUGGUGUUUUUGGAACGAAAGAAAUAUAAGAAGCUUUGAUUUUCGAGGGAAAAGAGGGCUCUAUUUUUUGAAAGUUACAUGUCAGGGAGUGCUUGAUUCUAGUUAAUAGUGGGCGCAUAUAUUAUCUUGAGAAGAAGGUUCUUACUCUGGCAAGGGGAAAGAGAUUGUAAAACGUUUAACUUAGUCAAACGGAACUGUGUCACCGCGGAGUUUUGGGUAUCAAGAAUCAAGAAUAUAAAAAUGCAAAAUAGGAGUCUCUUGAUGAAAUAGUUGUCGAGAUUUAGUGUUGAAGACUAUGCUUUAUGUAGAAAGGUUGUCGAAAUGAAGUAUGGUCAAAUGAAUGAAUGGAUUUCCGGCAUGACAAUUAGCUCGGACAUUCACCGCUACGAUCUUUGCACAAGAUACCAAACUUUACUUCAGCGCGACACAGGGAGGUAACGGUUGGAACAUCCUUUUCAGAAGAAAGCCGAAUGACUGGGUUGUUAGAAGAACUGCCUGAUUGUUCCAACCUUAGCGGGAGCUUUAGUGCACCGGGCUGCCCUUGUUUUUAUCGUCGGUUUCUGGUUUGAACACAACAGUAAUGAUCAGUUAAUUCGACGAGGGCAGGACAGUGUUUCAUUCAGUCAGCUCAUGUUACAAGAUAAUACUUACAGGUACGCAUCAGCUUAGUUUUGGCCCAUGAAAGAAGAUAUGGAAACGUAAGGCACCAACAGAACUCGUGUGUUUUUGUCUGGUUGGUCAUGGAAGAUGCAUGUUUGACUCGAGACAAUCUACGACGAAGAGGGAUACAACUACGCGAUAGAUGCAACAUGUGCUGAAUAGAGGCGGAAUUGGUUUGCCGUGUUUUCCUACAUUGCUCUAUAUCUACACAGAUUUGGCAGAUGUUCCUUAAUUUGUAGAGUUGAAGUGGUUCAUGCUCGAUUGGAAAAGGGUCUUUCGGAAACAACUGGUGACUGUUCAGCCGAGGUUCUUUCAGAAACGGUCUCUCGACCUUCUCAAAAGGUAAGGGGUAAGGUUUGCGUACAUUCUACCUUACCAAGACCUCACUUGUGGGAUUACACUGGGUUUGUUGUUGUUGUUGUUGCUCGAUCGGAGAAGGGCUAUCCAAGAAACUUGAAGACUAGAGAUACUUUGGAAAGAGAGAAAUGCAAGAUGAUUAGAACGGCAAGACAACUUUGUUUUGAUUGUUUUGUCUGGGUGCAUUUUGUUGUUACUUUCGAGUAACCGGCAAAGUUGCUACCAUGUGACCAGGAGGUCACGGGUUCAAGCGUUAGAAACAGUCUCUGACAGAAAUACAAGGUAAGGCUGUGUACAAUUCACCCUUGUGGUGGGGUCCUUUCCCAGACCUGUGCAUAGCGGAAGCUUUAGUGCACCAGACUGCUCUUUUUUCAUACUUGAACUAGAAGUUGUGCGAGCUUCCUAGAUAAAUUAUCAACUAUCAAUUGUUCAUUUUUCUUACCUAAAAUUUGGAAACACGCACACCUUAUAGUUCAGAUAUGAAACUCAAAAACCGAGAUACUUAGAUGUAUUUUUGACAGUGCACUCCGAGUUAAUUGUGAUUGGAAUUGGUUAGUGUUGUAUGCUUUAUUUUAAGCAGAGGUUUAUCGGAAACAACCUCUUUAUCUUUACGAGUUAGGGAUAAAAUCUGCCUAUACUCUACCUUCAUCAGACCCACUUAUGGGACUACGCUCCAUUGGUUGUUGUUGUAUUUGGAUGUAAUGACAUUAGUUUCAUAGUCAGGGGUGGAGUUACCCUUUGGCGAAGGGGUUCAUCCUUCGGCGGGGUUAAAAUUAUUUUUUAUGUGUA